UCUCCUGGAAUGGAGCGUCAUAGAGGGUGAGAAUCCAAUAUAUGGCACGGGCUGCCGUUGCUCUGUGAUACACUCUCGACGAGUCGAGUUGUUUGGGAAUGCAGCUCUAAAUGGGUGGUAAAUGCCAUCUAAAGCUAAAUAUUGGCGAGAGACCGAUAGCGAACAAGUACCGUGAGGGAAAGAUGAAAAGCACUUUGGAAAGAGAGUGAAACAGUACGUGAAAUUGUUGAAAGGGAAACGCUUGAAGUCAGUCGCGCCGUUCGGGAUUCAGCCUUGCUUCUGCUUGGUUUACUUCCCGUUGGGUGGGUCAACAUCAGUUUUGGUCGGAGGAGAAAGGCUUGGGGAAGGUGGCAGCAUUCGUGCUGUGUUAUAGCCCCUUGUUGUAUACUUCGACUGGGACUGAGGACCGCAGCACGCCUUUGGCCGGGGUUCGCCCACGUACGUGCUUAGGAUGUUGGCAUAAUGGCUUUAAGCGACCCGUCUUGAAACACGGACCAAGGAGUCUAACAUGUGCGCGAGUGUUUGGGUGUUAAACUCGGACGCAAAAUGAAAGUGAAAGGUGGGAACACUUUUGUGUGCACCGACGCCCGGAGCUGACCU
rnacentral:misc_RNA from 1 species